rnacentral:rRNA from 1 species
UACGUAGGGUGCAAGCGUUGUCCGGAAUUAUUGGGCGUAAAGAGCUCGUAGGCGGUUUGUCGCGUCUGCUGUGAAAACCCGAGGCUCAACCUCGGGCCUGCAGUGGGUACGGGCAGACUAGAGUGCGGUAGGGGAGAUUGGAAUUCCUGGUGUAGCGGUGGAAUGCGCAGAUAUCAGGAGGAACACCAAUGGCGAAGGCAGAAUCUCUGGGCCGUAACUGACGCUGGAGGAGCGAAAGCAUGGGGAGCGAAACAGG